ACGAACGCUGGCGGCGUGCUUAACCCAUGCGAGUCGAACGGAAAGGCCCUGCUUUUGUGGGGUGCUCGAGUGGCGAACGGGUGAGUAACACGUGAGUAACCUGCCCUUGACUUUGGGAUAACUUCAGGAAACUGGGGCUAAUACCGGAUAGGAGCUCCUGCUGCAUGGUGGGGGUUGGAAAGUUUCGGCGGUUGGGGAUGGACUCGCGGCUUAUCAGCUUGUUGGUGGGGUAGUGGCUUACCAAGGCUUUGACGGGUAGCCGGCCUGAGAGGGUGACCGGCCACAUUGGGACUGAGAUACGGCCCAGACUCCUACGGGAGGCAGCAGUGGGGAAUAUUGCACAAUGGGCGGAAGCCUGAUGCAGCAACGCCGCGUGCGGGAUGACGGCCUUCGGGCUGUAAACCGCUUUCGCCUGUGACGAAGCGUGAGUGACGGUAAUGGGUAAAGAAGCACCGGCUAACUACGUG
rnacentral:rRNA from 1 species